rnacentral:rRNA from 1 species
CCUACGGGAGGCUGCAGUGAGGAAUAUUGGUCAAUGGACGAGAGUCUGAACCAGCCAAGUAGCGUGAAGGAUGACUGCCCUAUGGGUUGUAAACUUCUUUUAUAUGGGAAUAAAAUGUUCCACGUGUGGGAUUUUGUAUGUACCAUAUGAAUAAGGAUCGGCUAACUCCGUGCCAGCAGCCGCGGUAAUACGGAGGAUCCGAGCGUUAUCCGGAUUUAUUGGGUUUAAAGGGAGCGUAGGUGGAUUGUUAAGUCAGUUGUGAAAGUUUGCGGCUCAACCGUAAAAUUGCAGUUGACACUGGCAGUCUUGAGUACAGUAGAGGUGGGCGGAAUUCGUGGUGUAGCGGUGAAAUGCUUAGAUAUCACGAAGAACUCCGAUUGCGAAGGCAGUUCACUGGACUGCAACUGACACUGAGGCUCGAAAGUGUGGGUAUCAAACAGGAUUAGAUACCCGUGUAGUC